rnacentral:rRNA from 1 species
GGGUUGUGAGGUUAAGCGACUAAGCGUACACGGUGGAUGCCCUGGCAGUCAGAGGCGAUGAAGGACGUGCUAAUCUGCGAUAAGCGUCGGUAAGGUGAUAUGAACCGUUAUAACCGGCGAUUUCCGAAUGGGGAAACCCAGUGUGUUUCGACACACUAUCAUUAACUGAAUCCAUAGGUUAAUGAGGCGAACCGGGGGAACUGAAACAUCUAAGUACCCCGAGGAAAAGAAAUCAACCGAGAUUCCCCCAGUAGCGGCGAGCGAACGGGGAGCAGCCCAGAGCCUGAAUCAGUGUGUGUGUUAGUGGAAGCGUCUGGAAAGGCGCGCGAUACAGGGUGACAGCCCCGUACACAAAAAUGCACAUGCUGUGAGCUCGAUGAGUAGGGCGGGACACGUGGUAUCCUGUCUGAAUAUGGGGGGACCAUCCUCCAAGGCUAAAUACUCCUGACUGACCGAUAGUGAACCAGUACCGUGAGGGAAAGGCGAAAAGAACCCCGGCGAGGGGAGUGAAAAAGAACCUGAAACCGUGUACGUACAAGCAGUGGGAGCCUCUUUUAUGGGGUGACUGCGUACCUUUUGUAUAAUGGGUCAGCGACUUAUAUUCUGUAGCAAGGUUAACCGAAUAGGGGAGCCGAAGGGAAACCGAGUCUUAACUGGGCGUUAAGUUGCAGGGUAUAGACCCGAAACCCGGUGAUCUAGCCAUGGGCAGGUUGAAGGUUGGGUAACACUAACUGGAGGACCGAACCGACUAAUGUUGAAAAAUUAGCGGAUGACUUGUGGCUGGGGGUGAAAGGCCAAUCAAACCGGGAGAUAGCUGGUUCUCCCCGAAAGCUAUUUAGGUAGCGCCUCGUGAAUUCAUCUCCGGGGGUAGAGCACUGUUUCGGCAAGGGGGUCAUCCCGACUUACCAACCCGAUGCAAACUGCGAAUACCGGAGAAUGUUAUCACGGGAGACACACGGCGGGUGCUAACGUCCGUCGUGAAGAGGGAAACAACCCAGACCGCCAGCUAAGGUCCCAAAGUCAUGGUUAAGUGGGAAACGAUGUGGGAAGGCCCAGACAGCCAGGAUGUUGGCUUAGAAGCAGCCAUCAUUUAAAGAAAGCGUAAUAGCUCACUGGUCGAGUCGGCCUGCGCGGAAGAUGUAACGGGGCUAAACCAUGCACCGAAGCUGCGGCAGCGACACUAUGUGUUGUUGGGUAGGGGAGCGUUCUGUAAGCCUGUGAAGGUGUGCUGUGAGGCAUGCUGGAGGUAUCAGAAGUGCGAAUGCUGACAUAAGUAACGAUAAAGCGGGUGAAAAGCCCGCUCGCCGGAAGACCAAGGGUUCCUGUCCAACGUUAAUCGGGGCAGGGUGAGUCGACCCCUAAGGCGAGGCCGAAAGGCGUAGUCGAUGGGAAACAGGUUAAUAUUCCUGUACUUGGUGUUACUGCGAAGGGGGGACGGAGAAGGCUAUGUUGGCCGGGCGACGGUUGUCCCGGUUUAAGCGUGUAGGCUGGUUUUCCAGGCAAAUCCGGAAAAUCAAGGCUGAGGCGUGAUGACGAGGCACUACGGUGCUGAAGCAACAAAUGCCCUGCUUCCAGGAAAAGCCUCUAAGCAUCAGGUAACAUCAAAUCGUACCCCAAACCGACACAGGUGGUCAGGUAGAGAAUACCAAGGCGCUUGAGAGAACUCGGGUGAAGGAACUAGGCAAAAUGGUGCCGUAACUUCGGGAGAAGGCACGCUGAUAUGUAGGUGAAGUCCCUCGCGGAUGGAGCUGAAAUCAGUCGAAGAUACCAGCUGGCUGCAACUGUUUAUUAAAAACACAGCACUGUGCAAACACGAAAGUGGACGUAUACGGUGUGACGCCUGCCCGGUGCCGGAAGGUUAAUUGAUGGGGUCAGCGCAAGCGAAGCUCUUGAUCGAAGCCCCGGUAAACGGCGGCCGUAACUAUAACGGUCCUAAGGUAGCGAAAUUCCUUGUCGGGUAAGUUCCGACCUGCACGAAUGGCGUAAUGAUGGCCAGGCUGUCUCCACCCGAGACUCAGUGAAAUUGAACUCGCUGUGAAGAUGCAGUGUACCCGCGGCAAGACGGAAAGACCCCGUGAACCUUUACUAUAGCUUGACACUGAACAUUGAGCCUUGAUGUGUAGGAUAGGUGGGAGGCUUAGAAGUGUGGACGCCAGUCUGCAUGGAGCCGACCUUGAAAUACCACCCUUUAAUGUUUGAUGUUCUAACGUUGACCCGUGAUCCGGGUUGCGGACAGUGUCUGGUGGGUAGUUUGACUGGGGCGGUCUCCUCCUAAAGAGUAACGGAGGAGCACGAAGGUUGGCUAAUCCUGGUCGGACAUCAGGAGGUUAGUGCAAUGGCAUAAGCCAGCUUGACUGCGAGCGUGACGGCGCGAGCAGGUGCGAAAGCAGGUCAUAGUGAUCCGGUGGUUCUGAAUGGAAGGGCCAUCGCUCAACGGAUAAAAGGUACUCCGGGGAUAACAGGCUGAUACCGCCCAAGAGUUCAUAUCGACGGCGGUGUUUGGCACCUCGAUGUCGGCUCAUCACAUCCUGGGGCUGAAGUAGGUCCCAAGGGUAUGGCUGUUCGCCAUUUAAAGUGGUACGCGAGCUGGGUUUAGAACGUCGUGAGACAGUUCGGUCCCUAUCUGCCGUGGGCGCUGGAGAACUGAGGGGGGCUGCUCCUAGUACGAGAGGACCGGAGUGGACGCAUCACUGGUGUUCGGGUUGUCAUGCCAAUGGCACUGCCCGGUAGCUAAAUGCGGAAGAGAUAAGUGCUGAAAGCAUCUAAGCACGAAACUUGCCCCGAGAUGAGUUCUCCCUGACUCCUUGAGAGUCCUGAAGGAACGUUGAAGACGACGACGUUGAUAGGCCGGGUGUGUAAGCGCAGCGAUGCGUUGAGCUAACCGGUACUAAUGAACCGUGAGGCUUAACCUUACAACGCCGAAGCUGUU